UUUAAGCUUGCCACCAUCAAUGUCCAUGUUACUCUUAACAAUUGUGAACGUUAUUACGAAUGGGACAGAACACUAAGUGAGAUGGAAUAAUAUAUUUUAUAUAUAUUAAAAAAUCAAAGAAUAAAAUAAAGUUUCAAUUAUGAU